GAUGAACGCUGGCGGCGUGCCUAACACAUGCAAGUCGAGCGAACGGACGAGAAGCUUGCUUCUCUGAUGUUAGCGGCGGAAGGGUGAGUAACACGUGGUCAACCUACCUAUAAGACUGGGAUAAUUUCGGGAAACCGGAGCUAAUACCGGCUAAUAUUUUGAACCGCAUGGUUCAAAAGUGAAAGACGGUCUUGCUGACACUUAUAGAUGGAUCCGCGCUGCAUUAGCUAGUUGGUAAGGUAACGGCUUACCAAGGCAACGAUGCAUAGCGGACCUGAGAGCGUGGUCGGCCAGACUGGAGCUGAGACACGGUCCAGACUCCUACGGGAAGCAGCAGUAGGGAAUCGUCCGCGAUGGGCGAGAGCCUGACGGAGCAACACCGCGUAAGUGAUGAAGGACUUAGGAUGGUGAAGCUCUGUUGUUAGGGAAGACCAUAUGUGUAAGUAACUGUGCACAUCAUGACGGUACCUAAUCAGAAAGCCACGGCUAACUACGUG
rnacentral:rRNA from 1 species